AACCAAACAAGCCAUCCACAUAGCUUGACCAUCCAUUCAAUCAAAAACAUAAAUCAUCCCCCCAUCUGCGUCUGCCGCUUCAAGCUCCAUGAUCUUUUGAUGACCUUCUCCUUAUCUCUUAGAAUAUGCAAUCCUAGUUUUUGGCUCAUCUCCCAAAUCUCCUCUGCUUCCUUCUUGAAAACUGGAUCCCUCCUUCGAAUGUCCUCGUCCGAGAUUGAACUUUUGUCCUUGCCCUUUCUCUCACUGCUAUUUAGGCACUUUUGCUCUUCUUUCUUUUUUCUGCCAUAGUCGUUUUGUCUGUUGCAAGAACUUUGUCCUAGUGUCACAUUAUCACAGUUGUUCUUCCCACUCCCCUUCAAAAUUCGACCCCUCCCUUUGCCUUUACUUCCUUGUCCACACAUGGCCUUAAGAGAGUAUUUCUUCAAAAAAAUUCUCCCCUUUUGCUCCUUUUCAAUCCUCUAUUAUCCCAUUUUGCUUCAAUUUUCCUACCCAUUUUUUUAUUUCCCUCUUCUUCAUCAAAAUCCCAAUUGCUAAAUUCCUUAUCUUCACUUAUAUCUAUUCUCUCUUUUUCGACCUUCUUAGAAUCUUUUUUGCCUUUUACUAUUUCAUUGCCAAUCCUUUUUUCUUGCUUUCUUUCUUUUUCUAUCAUGCCGACUUCCUUCUGAACUCCACUCCAUAUUCUUUCCGCCAUUUCGUCUCCCACUUUGGGUUUUUGCCUUAUUUUCUCUGCACUGCACCUAACUUUUUUCCUAGGUCCCAUGGGUUGUAUCUUUUUUAAUUUUGCCCAUUCUUUCAACUAGCCCAUUGCUAUUCGUAUUUAUAUUUUUUCCAAUUGGAUUUUCUUCCCUAUGCCGUCAAAAAAAUCUAGGCUUAGCGUUACUCUCAUAGCUAAGCCCAGUUUCCAUAGGCUCUUUGCUUUUCUGCCCAAUUCACUUUCCAGGCUUGACUCUCUACUCUUUUGAUCCUUUGACUUUUUCUUAUGCC
rnacentral:lncRNA from 1 species